rnacentral:tRNA from 1 species
GGGCCGGUAGCUUAGCUAGGAGGAGCACCUGGCUUUUAACCAGGUGGUCGCGGGUUCAAAUCCCGUCCGGCCCA